rnacentral:rRNA from 1 species
GAGUUUGAUCCUGGCUCAGGACGAACGCUGGCGGCGCGCCUAACACAUGCAAGUCGAACGAGCAAAGAGGAGCUUGCUUCUCUGAGCGAGUGGCGAACGGGUGAGUAACGCGUGAGGAACCUGCCUCAAAGAGGGGGACAACAGUUGGAAACGACUGCUAAUACCGCAUAAGCCCACGGGUCGGCAUCGACCAGAGGGAAAAGGAGUGAUCCGCUUUGAGAUGGCCUCGCGUCCGAUUAGCUAGUUGGUGAGGUAACGGCCCACCAAGGCGACGAUCGGUAGCCGGACUGAGAGGUUGAACGGCCACAUUGGGACUGAGACACGGCCCAGACUCCUACGGGAGGCAGCAGUGGGGAAUAUUGCACAAUGGGGGAAACCCUGAUGCAGCGACGCCGCGUGGAGGAAGAAGGUCUUCGGAUUGUAAACUCCUGUUGUUGAGGAAGAUAAUGACGGUACUCAACAAGGAAGUGACGGCUAACUACGUGCCAGCAGCCGCGGUAAAACGUAGGUCACAAGCGUUGUCCGGAGUUACUGGGUGUAAAGGGAGCGCAGGCGGGAAGACAAGUUGGAAGUGAAAUCCAUGGGCUCAACCCAUGAACUGCUUUCAAAACUGUUUUUCUUGAGUAGUGCAGAGGUAGGCGGAAUUCCCGGUGUAGCGGUGGAAUGCGUAGAUAUCGGGAGGAACACCAGUGGCGAAGGCGGCCUACUGGGCACCAACUGACGCUGAGGCUCGAAAGUGUGGGUAGCAAACAGGAUUAGAUACCCUGGUAGUCCACACCGUAAACGAUGAUUAAUAGGUGUUGGAGGAUUGACCCCUUCAGUGCCGCAGUUAACACAAUAAGUAAUCCACCUGGGGGAGUACGACCGCAAGGUUGAAACUCAAAGGAAUUGACGGGGGCCCGCACAAGCAGUGGAGUAUGUGGUUUAAUUCGACGCAACGCGAAGAACCUUACCAAGUCUUGACAUCCUGCGACGGACAUAGAAAUAUGUCUUUCCUUCGGGACGCAGAGACAGGUGGUGCAUGGUUGUCGUCAGCUCGUGUCGUGAGAUGUUGGGUUAAGUCCCGCAACGAGCGCAACCCUUAUGGUCAGUUACUACGCAAGAGGACUCUGGCCAGACUGCCGUUGACAAAACGGAGGAAGGUGGGGAUGACGUCAAAUCAUCAUGCCCUUUAUGACUUGGGCUACACACGUACUACAAUGGCGUUAAACAAAGAGAAGCAAGACCGCGAGGUGGAGCAAAACUCAGAAACCACGUCCCAGUUCGGACUGCAGGCUGCAACUCGCCUGCACGAAGUCGGAAUUGCUAGUAAUCGUGGAUCAGCAUGCCACGGUGAAUACGUUCCCGGGCCUUGACACACCGCCCGUC